AUUUCGCGUCACCAGACCAGACCGCUAACAGGGCGUUCUCGAAGGUUGGCGCACGCUGAAGGGCUUCUGCAAGAUGGGUUCCGAGAUAUGGUGGAAAUGGUGUUUUCUAUCACCUUGCGGCACCCCUUCGCAGGGCGGAGCGGAUAUCCUGAUUUUCGUCAUCCGGGAUCGAUGGUCAACGAGGUUCAAGGAGGUGCAGGAUCGAUGGUGUGCGCGAACCGGGCACAAGCAAAUGGUGUGCCAAUUUUUGUUUGAACCCAGCAAUGCGUGAAAGUUCAAUGUUGUGCGAACGAUGCUCAGCGAACCGCCGGAUUCCCUGCCCGCCAGCAUUUUUCUUCUGCAAUCGUAAUACAUCAUGCUGCUUUCGCCAACGACAUCUUGCUCGGGACAAAAAGGUGGGAAGAAAUUAUUUCUCGCAUCGAGCAAAUGGGAAAAUUUCAUUCAUUUCAUUAAAAAUACAUAGAAAUGGCAAAC